AGCAAAGAGAUUUCAGAAAACCACUUAAUAUUCGUAUCGAGCCUAUCGGCUAAUUAAAGAGAAAACUUUUGCAGGUCGUCAAGUAUAUUGGUUCAGACUUAAUCAACAACCUGACCAGAUCUAAAAUGUUUAUUUGAACAUGGUUCGCGCGCUCCUCCCAGAAUCUCAACAUUGGAAGCAAUAGAACAAUAGCUGUGGUCUUGUUGGGUGAUGUGGAGGCAUUUCAGGAUUCAAUGCAAGAGAAGGCGCAGAUAUACAGAAAGGGGGCGCAAACCAAAAUCUUGGAAUUAUCGUUUUGCGGGACGCUGGACACAGCUGGCAAUUAGGGUUUCCAUUGGGGAAUAUAGUCCCCAUCCAAGAGUAGGCAAAAGAUACAUUGUGUUUGUUAGUAAUUGCAAGCGUUAUAAUUAUUAAUCUGUCUGACUAGUGACAAAAAUCGACGAAAGAACUCAUUUCGAGCUUAGAGUAUAGUAUAUCCAUCUACCUUGAGAUGAACAGUUGGCGAUUGAAUAGGUGGUAUUUGCAGAGCAUUUUCAGGUGCCUGGUCUUUGCUAUAACAUUUUGCUUACAUGCAAGGGAGCUCAUAGAUUGAUUGAUUUUAUUUUCUACGAACUCUGCUCAUUUUCGUCCAAACUGGAAUCGCAAACAACUGUAAAAAUUGUCCCAAGGAUUUAAUGGCAUUGCCUAAAAAUCAGAGAGUUUCAAAUGCCCAAAUCAUUCAUCUCACAACACGAUGCACUACACGAAGAUGUGUAGGCUAGACUGUUGACAAUCUUCUUUCAGAUGCUUUUGAUGGUUUUGAGGCUGAUGUUGAUGGAAAUGGUUGUGUUCCCUUUGAUAAACCUAGCAGCUCUAAGAAGGUUUGUAAAAGAAAGGGAUCAAUGUCUAGCAAAGCUCGUGUACUCUAUGUUUAUGAAUGCCUAGAUUCAGAGAUGAAAACCACUACCUAGGUCCCAAUGGUGGCACUGUACUUAUUCUGGCAAAUAAAGGCCUACAUGGUCCACAUCUUUUACAAGCUCUGAUGUGGGCUGAAGAAACAUCAGUACAAAAUCUCACUUGCACCCUCACUUGAAAUUUUGAAUCAAGAAAAUGAAUCACUGGCUUCUGCUAGAGUUCUAAAUGUGUCUUCAAGGUCAAGAUCGGGUUUGGUGUGUGUUUUAAACCUGGAUUAUAAUAAACAAUUUGCUAUAGAAGAGCAUUGUAUGAAGCGUCUUGUGGGUAGUGAUAAUAAGCCUAUGAAUUCAGCCAGGAAGGAUGCUUUUCUUGAAGAAACUCUUGUUGAAGCAAUUGUGGAUCAUUCCUGCAAGCAAUUCUUUCAAAACAGUAUGAAGACGCUAAUAUGAAUUGUAGUCAAGGCAUCAACGAGGAGAAUAUUUAGUCCACUCCAGUUACAUAUCAAACUCUUAGCGGUGAGAUCAAAGUUGACUAUUCAAGAGUGCAGGUGGCAUUGUAUAACACUCGGAUAGUCAUUAAAACACUCGGACAGUGUUAAUGUUUAUGGCAUUUGUUUCAACUCCCAUUACCAGCUUUCUGGUUUGAAUAAGGGCAGUGGUGACCUGAAAUAAGACUCAAUCGAAGGCAAAUAUGCGUUGUAGAGGAGGGAAAGACAUAGCUUUUAAUAGGAUUGUAAGCUACGUGGACAAAAAACCUCAACAAUUUCUUGUUAUAUGAAGGACCAUCCUGAAUAUUCAUAAGAAGAGACAGUUAUUCAUAUCAAUAACCUUUUUGACCAAUUGCUUAUAGAAUUAACAUGGGAAUUUUAGAAUCCCAACAAAGUUCCAAUUGAAUGGGAUAAAUUUACUUCAAUCUUGGUUGAGGAGUUCAGAGCUUUUAUAUAUUUGGAGAUGGUUUUUCAUAUCAUGAUAAGGGAGUCAAGAAACAAGUAUUCAAAGUUCUAUUUGAUCUAGUUAAAAUCUAGAAAGAUGGUGUUUCUAUUAGAUGAAGACCAAAAUAAAAAAUUACUAUAAUCAUAUUAAGUCAUAAGUGAUGGUCAUUAAAUCUACAUUCCUUUGUAUAAUAUAUAUAUCUUGAUAAGGGAGUCAAGAAACAAGUAUUCAAAGUUCUAUUUGAUCUAGUUAAAAUCUAGAAAGAUGGUGUUUCUAUUAGAUGAAGACCAAAAUAAAAAAUUACUAUAAUCAUAUUAAGUCUUAAGUGAUGGUCA